GCAAGGGAUGCAGUAAGGGUUGUCCUCUGCCUGGAUGUACUUCCUGCCAUACAGAGACUCCUUGCAGUUGUCACAGUCAAAACGCUCGCUCAUGAUGAUCCGGAUUCAAGUCUGUUCCUGUAACACAGAAGCGCACGAGGCAUUUCCUACAUUUCAAAUGAUACAUAAACAUAGGACAUGUUUCUCGCAGGCCCCAGAAAGGAUCACCAACAGGGUUUAGAAGGUCUCAUCAUUCACCUAAGUCCAUUGUUAAGGGUCUACAUGCACAUUCCCUGAAGUAACCCACGAUUGUGAAAGAGAUGUCAAUGACCACCGUCAGCCUUCAGAAUGACUGUCAUUAAAUUAUCUCAACUGUUUUGCUAAACAACAACAUCUUAUGUAAGCCUGACAUCAACAACCACCUCUACAACCAGCUGU